rnacentral:rRNA from 1 species
AGCGAACGCUGGCGGCAUGCUUAACACAUGCAAGUCGCACGGGCAGCAAUGUCUGUGUCGGGCGGGUGGGUGCCGAGUGGGGAGGAGUCCUGAGGAGGGUGACAACUCCGGGGGGCUGGGGUCAAUACAGGAUCUGGGAUGCGGCACACGGCCGAGGGGCGCAUUUGGGGGGGCCUGGGUCCUAUUAGGUUGUGGGUGGGGUAAAGCGGUAUCAAGACUUGGAUCGGUAGCUGGUCAGAGAGGAAGACCAGCCACACUGGGAGUGAGACACGGCCCAGACUCCUACGGGAGGCAGCAGUGGGGAAUAUUGGACAAUCGGCUGAAUCCUGAUCCAGCUAUGCCUGGUAAGUGAAGAAGGUCUGGGGAACGUAAAGCCCUUUCAACGGGUGCUAUGAUGACGUUACCCGUAGAAGAAGCCCCGGCUAACUUCGUG